rnacentral:lncRNA from 1 species
GAUUUUUGGGCUCAUUUUUUGGGAUUUUUAGGCCGUGUUUUAUAGGAUUUAUUUCUGGGUUUUGUGGGAUUUUUGGUCUCAUUUUUUGGGAUUUUGGGCUCAGUUUUAUAGGAUUUUUUCCUGGGGUUUGUGGGAUUUUUUGGCUCAUUUUUGGGGAUUUUUGGGCUCAUAUUUUGGGGAUUUUUUGGGCUCUUUUUUUGGGGAUUUUUGGGCUCAUUUUGGGGAUUUUUGGGCUCAUUUUUGGGGAUUUUUGAGCUCAGUUUUAUAGGAUUUUUUUCUGGGUUUUGUGGGAUUUUUGGGCUCAUUUUUUGGGAUUUUUGGCUCAUUUUUGGGAUUUUUUUUGCUCAUUUUUUGGGGAUUUUUGGGCUCAUUUUUGGGCUCAUUUUUGGGGAUUUUUGGGCUCAUUUUUUGGGGAUUUUUUGGCUCAUUUUUUGGGAUUUUUGGGCUCAUUUUUGGGGGAUUUUUGGGCUCAUUUUUUGGGAUUUUUUGGCUCAUUUUUGGGGAUUUUUGGGCUCAUUUUUUGGUGAUAUUUUGGCUCAUUUUUUGGGUUUUUUUGGGCUCAUUUUUGGGGGAUUUUUGGGCUCAUUUUUUGGGAUUUUUUUGGCUCAUUUUUUGGGAUUUUGGGCUCAUUUUUGGGGGAUUUUUGGGCUCAUUUUUUGGGAUUUUUGGGCUCAUUUUUUGGGGAUUUUUGGGCUCAGUUUUAUAGGAUUUUUUCUGGGUUUUUUGGGAUUUUUUGGCUCAUUUUUUGGGAUUUUUGGGCUCAUUUUUUGGGGAUUUUUGGGCUCAUUUUUUGGGAUUUUUGGGCCCUAUUAAAUGGGAUUUUUAGGCCGUGUUUUAUUCGAUUUUUUCCUGGUUUUUGUGGGAUUUUUGGGCUCAUUUUUUGGGAUUUUUUUGGGCUCAUUUUUGGUGAUAUUUUGUCUCAUUUUUUGGGUUUUUUUGCUGUUUUUGGGGCAGACCGGGGCCGACAUCUGCGGCUUUUUCGGGGAGCCCUCGUUCGAGCUCUGCGCCCGCUGGAUGGAGCUCGGCGCCUUCUACCCCUACGCCAGGAACCACAAC